GACGAACGCUGGCGGCGUGCUUAACACAUGCAAGUCGAGCGAGUGGCGGACGGGUGAGUAAUGUAUGGGGAUCUGCCCGAUAGAGGGGGAUAACUACUGGAAACGGUGUCUAAUACCGCAUACUCUCGGAUUAACCCCUAUGGGAUUAGCUAGUAGGUGGGGUAAAGGCUCACCUAGGCGACGAUCGCUAGCUGGACUGAGAGGAUGACCGGCAACAUUGGGACUGAGAAACGGCCCAGACUCCUACGGGAGGAAGCAGUGGGGAAUCUUGGAAAAUGGGGGAAACCCUGAUCCAGCCAUGCCGCGUGGAGGCGAAGGUCUUCGGAUUGUAAACUGCUUUUGUCAGGGAAGCGGUACCUGAAGAAUAAGCAACGGCUAACUACGUGCCAGCAGCCGCGGUAAUUC
rnacentral:rRNA from 1 species